rnacentral:rRNA from 1 species
UACAGAGGUGGCUAGCGUUGUUCGGAUUUAUUGGGCGUAAAGGGUCCGUAGGCGGCCCGGAAAGUCGGAUGUGAAAGCCCACAGCUCAACUGUGGAACGGCAUUCGAAACUUUCGGGCUCGAGUGCGAGAGGGGUAAAGGGAAUUCCCGGUGUAAGGGUGAAAUCUGCAGAGAUCGGGAAGAACACCAGUCGCGUAGGCGCUUUACUGGCUCACAACUGACGCUGAGGGGCGAAAGCUAGGGGAGCAAACGGG